GAGGGUGUAGCUCAGUGGUGGAGCGCAUGCUUAGCAUGCACGAGGUCCUGGGUUCAAUCUCCAGUACUUCCA
rnacentral:tRNA from 1 species